GGGGAAUUAGCUCAGUUGGUAGUAGCGCUUGCUUAGCAUGCACGAGGCCCCGGGUUCGACUCCCGGAUUCUCCA